GGGGUCACCAGGGUCCAGGUUGAGGUCAGCGGGGUCAUCUACUUCUGGCCUUCCCCCUGUGGAAGCUGUGCCUCGUUGAAGCAGAGAGGUCGGGGAGAGAUUACUAGCACGUUCACCCGCCUCUUGCUCGAAGUCUGCUACCACCCAGACGAUGCCCACAGCCAUAAUGGCUGCGAGUCCCAGGAUGCAGAUCUGGGACUGCAGCUGGUGGUGACGCAGGGGUCCUCAUGGGACGGGCCAUCAGUACUUCAUGUGGACUGAGGCCAGUUUUCCUGACUGGGGUGGAACGCAUUGAAAACAAGGCUAUGGGUAGCGCAUCCACCCAGAUCCUGAACUCAAGCACUGACAGCGAAGGAGAGAUUGAGAUUGAUAACCAGAGCCCCUCUCUUCAGCAACUUCCAGAAGAGGCUGUGAUUCAGAAGUUACAGGUUAGUGAACUCCAUUUAGUUUGACAUCCAACACAGGGAUAAUUGACCAAUUUAAAACAGUUCUUGGAGAUGCAUAAUGGAUAAGGUGCAUAAAAGUGUGGCUUGCAUGAUAAAAAAUGAUUAACCUCUACUGUUUCUGUCAUGACACCUACACACCUGUACCACAGUGCAA